rnacentral:lncRNA from 1 species
UCAAACCCAAAAAGUUUCCAUUGCUAUCUUCGUACAAUUUCUCCUUAGAACCACGAAAGACUAAAUUAUGUUUAGCAAGAAAUUUCACUAUUGAAAUAACUCUUUUUAAAACAUUUUUCCAGUGAUCCUUUUCUUUCUCAAUUAAUCUUUGAGUUGUUUUAUCAAUAGUUUGAAAUUUUUGCAGCCUUUUGCGAUACUCAUACCAGUAGUAAUAUUUUUAACAUGUUCCAUGCCUAACUCGUGCUCUUUAAUUCUUUCACCAACA